rnacentral:rRNA from 1 species
CAUUUACGGAGAGUUUGAUCCUGGCUCAGGACGAACGCUGGCGGCGUGCUU